rnacentral:rRNA from 1 species
CUGGCGGCGUGCCUAACACAUGCAAGUCAACUUGACGGAAGGAGCAAUCUGACCGUAGAGUGGCGCAAGGGUGCGUAACGCGUAAGUAACUUGCCCCAAGGUAAGGAAUAACGUCGAGAAAUCGGCGCUAAUACCUCAUAAUGCAGCGGAUCCGCAUGGAUAUGUUGUUAAAGGUUUACCGCCUUGGGAUAUGCUUGCGUCUGAUUAGCUAGUUGGUGUGGUAACGGCACACCAAGGCUACGAUCAGUAACUGGUCUGAGAGGAUGAUCAGUCACACUGGAACUGAGACACGGUCCAGACUCCUACGGGAGGCAGCAGUGAGGAAUAUUGGGCAAUGCACGAAAGUGUGACCCAGCAACGCCGCGUGGAGGAUGAAGGUAUUCUAUAUCGUAAACUCCUGUGAGAGCAGACGAAAGACAGAUUAUUAAUUUGGAUGACUGUAUGCUCAGAGGAAGCCCCGGCUAACUACGUG